CAGCAGCAUAGCUCCGGCAGAGCACACACAUCGACAAGUUUUACCAUCCAAGUCGGCAAUGAACACCUUCUAGAAUGAGUUAUUUCGCGGUUACUUUGCAACCGAUGUUUUUUCCGUGCAACACAAAACUCUUGGCGCGAAACAAAAAUAAUUAGAUGUCGGCCAACUUAUUUCUGUGAACCAGAGACGUUUUCGGAAGAGUAGUGGUGGUUUGGAGGAAUGGGUCUGGCAUCUCACCACGAAGAAGGCAGCAGAAGACAAAAGGAGAUUGAGUGAGACGAGUGGAGAGAGGAGUGAAAAACGAGGAACACAAAGACGAAGACGAGAGGAACACAAAGCAAAAAUAUUUAAUAACGCUGUUUAAAUAUGAUUUGUUUAUUUUAAAUACCCGAAAUUCAGCACUCUGACGAAUUAUCGCAUUAAUAAUCAAAAUUUAACUAUCAAUUACAAUAAUCUCAAAGAUCAAAAAGAGAAAAGAGAUUUUACGGGUACUUUUUUUUUACAUUUGGACGUUAAUGCACUACGAUCAGUACAAUCAAGUGGCCCCGACGAUACCAAGCAAAGCUUGUUACGCGCGAAGCCAUCUUCCUAUCGGGGCGUCAAAACGAGAUCGCGAGUAAAAGAACAGACAGACCAAUUUUAAAUAAAUACCAAACUAAAAAACUAAUACUACUACUACUAAUACUUUAAUAAUACUAAUUACGUGU